rnacentral:rRNA from 1 species
UACGGGGGGGGCAAGCGUUGUUCGGAAUUACUGGGCGUAAAGGGCUCGUAGGUGGUCAACUAAGUCGGACGUGAAAUCCCUCGGCUUAACCGGGGAACUGCGUCCGAUACUGGAUGACUUGAGUUCGGGAGAGGGAUGCGGAAUUCCAGGUGUAGCGGUGAAAUGCGUAGAGAUGUGGAGGAACACCGAUGGCGAAGGCAGCCUCCUGGGCCAACACUGACGCUCAUGCACGAAAGCGUGGGGAGCAAACAGG